UACGUAGGUGGCAAGCGUUACUCGGAAUCACUAGGCGUAAAGCGCAGGUAGGCGGUUUGGUAAGUCUGUUGUGAAAGCUCCCGGCUUAACUGGGAGAGGCCAACGGAAACUACCAGGCUAGAGUGUGGUAGAGGUAGCUGGAAUUCCCGGUGUAGCGGUGAAAUGCGUAGAUAUCGGGAGGAAUACCUAUGGCGAAAGCAGGCUACUGGACCAUCACUGACGCUGAUCUGCGAAAGCUAGGGGAGCAAACAG
rnacentral:rRNA from 1 species